GGAUAGGUGAUUUAAGCCACGUCAGAACCACCGCUGUGGCGUGUGCCAGCGUCGGACGCCCAUUCGACUGCUCGGGCGGAGCAGCUUUCGCUUCCGCACCUGUGGUGUGGCAGAGCCAGCGAGCUGCUUCCUCAGCUGGAGGAGGAAGAGGAGUGACCUCAACGUUGCCGAGGUAAAGCACAAUUCUUGAAAAGAUUUGGCAAAGAUGUGGGUUGGAGCAGCGCGGCUGCUGCAGCUGCAGCAGAUCCUGGAGCAUUGGAGAAGACAGAGAGGGGUUUCUUGGUGAAAAGAAUGCUGUUAAAAGUGUUUUCAUGCCAGAAAUGAGGAUAAACGCCUCUGUUGUUUGACAUCCUCUAUUGACCUGGCACAUUGGCAUUACAGCGUACCUGGCACGCUGUUUGUAUUAAAAAAACAGGUAUUUUAGUCAGGGCAGGCCAGAAACCUGCCUUGGCACUUGCACAUGGCAGCAAUGCUUACAGACCCUGCAUCCUGGCUGCCAGGCCAGGAUCUAAAUCCGAUGGUGUUGUUGGUAAA
rnacentral:lncRNA from 1 species